rnacentral:tRNA from 1 species
GGAGUUGUGGCUUAGCGGUAGAGCACUCACCUAGCAUGUGCAAGACCCUGGGUUCAAUCCCCAGCACCA